rnacentral:tRNA from 1 species
CAGAUGGUAGUUUAAAAAGAAUAUUAAUUUUGGGAAUUAAUGGUAAUAUAUUAUAUUCCUUCUGA